GUGAAAUGCUGAAUACAACAGGUGUAGUAGACCUUACAGUGAAAUGAUGAAUACAACAGGUGUAGUAGACCUCACAGUGAAAUGCUGAAUACAACAGGUGUAGUAGACCUCACAGUGAAAUGCUGAAUACAACAGGUGUAGUAGACCUCACAGUGAAAUGCAGAAUACAACAGGUGUAGUAGACCUUACAGUGAAAUGCUGAAUACAACAGGUGUAGUAGACCUCACAGUGAAAUGCUGAAUACAACAGGUGUAGUAGACCUCACAGUGAAAUGCUGAAUACAACAGGUGUAGUAGACCUUACAGUGAAAUGCUGAAUACAACAGGUGUAGUAGACCUCACAGUGAAAUGCUGAAUACAACAGGUGUAGUAGACCUCACAGUGAAAUGCUGAAUACAACAGGUGUAGUAGACCUCACAGUGAAAUGCUGAAUACAACAGGUGUAGUAGACCUCACAGUGAAAUGCUGAAUACAACAGGUGUAGUAGACCUCACAGUGAAAUGCUGAAUACAACAGGUGUAGUAGACCUUACAGUGAAAUGCUGAAUACAACAGGUGUAGUAGACCUCACAGUGAAAUGCUGAAUACAACAGGUGUAGUAGACCUUACAGUGAAAUGCUGAAUACAACAGGUGUAGUAGACCUUACAGUGAAAUGCUGAAUACAACAGGUGUAGUAGACCUUACAGUGAAAUGCUGAAUACAACAGGUGUAGUAGACCUCACAGUGAAAUGCCGAAUACAACAGGUGUAGUAGACCUUACAGUGAAAUGCUGAAUACAACAGGUGUAGUAGACCUUACAGUGAAAUGCUGAAUACAACAGGUGUAGUAGACCUCACAGUGAAAUGCCGAAUACAACAGGUGUAGUAGACCUUACAGUGAAAUGCUGAAUACAACAGGUGUAGUAGACCUUACAGUGAAAUGCUGAAUACAACAGGUGUAGUAGACCUUACAGUGAAAUGCUGAAUACAACAGGUGUAGUAGACCUCACAGUGAAAUGCCGAAUACAACAGGUGUAGUAGACCUCACAGUGAAAUGCUGAAUACAACAGGUGUAGUAGACCUCACAGUGAAAUGCCGAAUACAACAGGUGUAGUAGACCUCACAGUGAAAUGCCGAAUACAACAGGUGUAGUAGACCUCACAGUGAAAUGCUGAAUACAACAGGUGUAGUAGACCUCACAGUGAAAUGCCGAAUACAACAGGUGUAGUAGACCUCACAGUGAAAUGCUGAAUACAACAGGUGUAGUAGACCUUACAGUGCUGAAUACAACAGGUGUAGUAGACCUUACAGUGAAAUGCCGAAUACAACAGGUGUAGUAGACCUUACAGUGAAAUGCCGAAUACAACAAGUGUAGUAGACCUUACAGUGAAAUGCCGAAUACAACAGGUGUAGUAGACCUUACAGUGAAAUGCCGAAUACAACAAGUGUAGUAGACCUUACAGUGAAAUGCCGAAUACAACAAGUGUAGUAGACCUUACAGUGAAAUGCCGAAUACAACAGGUGUAGUAGACCUUACAGUGAAAUGCCGAAUACAACAAGUGUAGUAGACCUUACAGUGAAAUGCCGAAUACAACAGGUGUAGUAGACUUUACAGUGAAAUGCCGAAUACAACAAGUGUA